rnacentral:rRNA from 1 species
ACGUAGGGGGCCAGCGUUGUCCGGAAUUACUGGGCGUAAAGCGCGCGCAGGCGGUCUAGUAAGCAGCGGGUGAAAUUCCGGGGCUCAACCCUGGGGCUGCUUGCUGAACUGCUAGACUAGAGUACGGGAGAGGGCAGUGGAAUUCCUGGUGUAGCGGUGGAAUGCGUAAAUAUCAGGAAGAACACCCGUGGCGAAGGCUGCUGCCUGGAACGUUACUGACGCUGAGGCGCGAAAGCUAGGGGAGCGAACGG